rnacentral:tRNA from 1 species
CGGUGUAGCUCAGCUGGUAGAGCAACUGACUUGUAAUCAGUAGGUCGGAGGUUCGAAUCCCCUCGCC